UUUAUGGAGAGUUUGAUCUUGGCUCAGGACGAACGCUGGCGGCGUGCCUAAUACAUGCAAGUCGAGCGCGGGAAGCAAACAGAUCUCCUUCGGGAGUGACGCUUGUGGAACGAGCGGCGGACGGGUGAGUAACACGUGGGCAACCUACCUGUAAGACUGGGAUAACUCCGGGAAACCGGGGCUAAUACCGGAUGAAACAAAGCGUCGCAUGACGCAAUGUUAAAAGGCGGCAUAUGCUGUCACUUACAGAUGGGCCCGCGGCGCAUUAGCUAGUUGGUGAGGUAAAG
rnacentral:ncRNA from 1 species